GAGGGGGGGGGGGACCGCCGGACAGUUCGUGAGGUGUUGGCCCUCUCAAAAGCCAAUUUCCCCAAACUAGUCUUUCUUUCCGAGACUAGACAAGAUGCAAGGAAAGUUGAAAAACUGAAGUGGAGACUUGGCUUGAAAGGUUUCCAUGGGGCGAGUAGUGAUGACAGAAGUGGUGGCUUGGCCUUGUUCUGGGAUGAA
rnacentral:rRNA from 1 species